UUGAAUGGCCGCGGUAUUUUGACCGUGCUAAGGUAGCAUAAUCAUUAGUUUUUUAAUUGAAAGCUGGAAUGAAGGGUUGGAUGAGGAAAAAACUGUCUCUUUUUAAUUAUUAUAAAAUUUUAUUUAUAAGUUAAAAAGCUUAUAUUUCAUUAAAAGACGAGAAGACCCUUUAGAGUUUAAUAUUUUUUUUUAAUAAAAAAUUUAGAAUUUAAGUUUUUAUUAAAAAAAGUUAUUUAAUUGGGGUGAUUAAAAAAUUUAAUAAACUUUUUUUAUAUUUUUAUAUUAAUAAGUAAAUAUUUGAUCCAAAAAUUUUUGAUUAUAAGAUAAAAUUACCUAAGGGAUAACAGCGUAAUUUUAUUAGAGAGUU
rnacentral:rRNA from 1 species